rnacentral:rRNA from 1 species
AACUUAAGCAUAUCAAUAAGCGGAGGAAAAGAAACCAACAGGGAUUGCCCUAGUAACGGCGAGUGAAGCGGCAACAGCUCAAAUUUGAAAUCUGGCCCAAGGCCCGAGUUGUAAUUUGCAGAGGAUGCUUUUGGUGAGGCGCUUACCGAGUCCCCUGGAAUGGGGCGCCACAGAGGGUGAGAGCCCCGUAUGGUUUGCCGCCGAGCCUCUGUAAAGCUCCUUCGACGAGUCGAGUAGUUUGGGAAUGCUGCUCUAAAUGGGAGGUAAAUUUCUUCUAAAGCUAAAUACCGGCCAGAGACCGAUAGCGCACAAGUAGAGUGAUCGAAAGAUGAAAAGCACUUUGAAAAGAGGGUUAAAUAGCACGUGAAAUUGUUGAAAGGGAAGCGCUCGUGACCAGACUUGCGCCGGGCGGAUCAAUUCAGCCUUCGGGCUGGGUGCGCUCUGCCCGGCUCAGGCCAGCAUCGGUUUUCGCCGGGGGAUAAAAGCUUCGGGAACGUAGCUCCCUACGGGGAGUGUUAUAGCCCGUUGCAUAAUACCCCGGCGGGGACCGAGGACCGCGCUUCGGCAAGGAUGCUGGCGUAAUGGUCAUCAGCGACCCGUCUUGAAACACGGACCGAGGAGUCAAGCAUUAGUGCGAGUGUUUGGGUGUAAAACCCGCACGCGUAAUGAAAGUGAACGUAGGUGAGAGCUUCGGCGCAUCAUCGACCGAUCCUGAUGUUUUCGGAUGGAUUUGAGUAGGAGCAUUAACGCUUGGACCCGAAAGAUGGUGAACUAUACUUGAAUAGGGUGAAGCCAGAGGAAACUCUGGUGGAGGCUCGCAGCGGUUCUGACGUGCAAAUCGAUCGUCAAAUUUGAGUAUAGGGGCGAAAGACUAAUCGAACCAUCUAGUAGCUGGUUACCGCCGAAGUUUCCCUCAGGAUAGCAGUGUCGUCUUCAGUUUUAUGAGGUAAAGCGAAUGAUUAGGGACUCGGGGGCGAUUUUUAGCCUUCAUCCAUUCUCAAACUUUAAAUAUGUAAGAAGCCCUUGUUACUUAAUUGAACGUGGGCCUUCGAAUGUACCGACACUAGUGGGCCAUUUUUGGUAAGCAGAACUGGCGAUGCGGGAUGAACCGAACGCGGGGUUAAGGUGCCGGAGUGGACGCUCAUCAGACACCACAAAAGGCGUUAGUACAUCUUGACAGCAGGACGGUGGCCAUGGAAGUCGGAAUCCGCUAAGGACUGUGUAACAACUCACCUGCCGAAUGUACUAGCCCUGAAAAUGGAUGGCGCUCAAGCGUCCCACCCAUACCCCGCCCCUGGGGUAGAAACGAUGCCCCAGGGAGUAGGCGGCCGUGGAGAUAGCGACGAAGGCUAGGGCGUGAGCCCGGCUAGAGCUGUCUC